rnacentral:rRNA from 1 species
UACGGGGGGGGCAAGCGUUGUUCGGAAUUACUGGGCGUAAAGGGCGCGUAGGCGGUUCGUUAAGUCCUGUGUGAAAUCCCCCGGCUCAACUGGGGAACUGCACAGGAAACUAGCGGGCUUGAAUUCGGGAGAGGGAUGCAGAAUUCCAGGUGUAGCGGUGAAAUGCGUAGAUAUCUGGAGGAAUACCGGUGGCGAAGGCGGCAUCCUGGACCGACAUUGACGCUGAUGAGCGAAAGCUAGGGGAGCAAACGGG